GAGCAGCGUGGCGGUCAGGGGACAGUUGGGGUCAGAAAUGGCCUUUCUGAGGGAGUGGGCUAAGACUUAGGAGGCGGCCUGGCCCGGUGCUGGCGUCUCUCUGGGCCCCUCUCUGGGCCUCAGUGUUCCCACCUGUAAAAUGGCAGACACAGGGGCUGCUUUUGCCCAGGCGGUACAUGAACAGCCCUCAGCCUGGCCUGGCACAGAGUAAAAACCCCCACAGGUGGGAUUUGGUGUUUCCACUGCUACCUCCAGCAGACUGGGCUGUCUCCUCCCUCAGACUCAGCUCCCAGGGGACCGGCAGUUGAAUCCCUGCCGUCAGACUCAGGUGUCUGAGGGCAGGGGCUGCACCUCCCACCACAGACCACAGACACCUGACACUCACCUGGGAGGGGGGACAUUCUUAUUCCCAUCCUGCUUAUGGAAAACCUCAUGGUCUUUUGUUAAGUCGAUCAACAAACACGUAUCGACCACCUGUUGUGGACGGCACACUGCGCUGGGCACUGGGCACAGCAGAGAGCAAAACAGAGAGAAACCCUUGCUUUGUAUCAAUCCCUGCAUCUGUGUCUGCAGGGGAGUGAGCAAAUAGUGCCCCAAACCCUGUUAAACUUAAGAGCAGUGCCUUCCAGCCAACAGGUGUUUCUGGAACAUCUAUUACCUGCCAGGCACCCUUCCAGGUACCGGGAAUAUAAGGGAGAGCGGAGGAAUACAGAUUCCUGCCUUCUCUGAGCUCCGGGAACAAGACAAGACCACAGCUUGGGACAGAGGGACGUUCAGGCCCUUCGCUGUUUUCCCAGCUGACCAGACUGGGGCCUGCCUCGGGGCUUUCGCACUUACCGUUCCCUCUGCCUGGAAUGCUUCCCACCACUUAAGUCUCAGCUCGCUUGUCACCUCCUAAGAAGACCCCCUUCCAGCUGCCCAUUCAAGUGGUGUUCACAAAUGGCGUUCACGCCUCCCGUCUUGUGAUCCUCCAACACUGUGCCCUGUUCUGGAUCCUUCUGGGCCCCAGCACGGUUUGUUUUGUUCUGUUUUGACAGGAUCACGGUGAGGCUGUGUGGGGACAGAGCCUAUCCCUUGCAGAGCCAGGCACACAGAAAAAGCUGAGAAGCAGCGCUGGGACCCGGGAUUGCUCAGACCACCUUAAAUCAGCCUCGCCGCCUCAGCUACUGUGGAAAUUCCUUUCUCCGCGGUGGUUGGCUGGGUGUGCCAGCCAAUCCUCCCGCGGCGCUCCCACAUGGGUCCAUGACAUCACAAUGGGCACUGGCCAAUGGAAAUCAAGAAACCCGCGACCAAUGGCAGGAGGCCCUAGGAUCGGCUGGGCCAAUCGGAAGGCUGCCAGCGGGGUAUGGAGCGUGCGGGUCGCCCCCACCCUUGGAGACGCUGAGAGCCUCGUGGACACCAGAGCUCACCAGGAGUGGGGGUUGGGGGGGAUCCGGUCCGUUUAGUAUCCGAAAAUCCGGAGACGCCAGCCACCCCCUGAGCCUGGCGAGUCUCUCCUUAAAAGCAGGAGCCCCUCGUCCAACAAAGUGCCUUGAAAAAGCCCGGCCAGCUGGCGGGGCCGACUAGGCGCCUUUCGCCCUAUUUCACAGAUGGGUAAACCGAGGCAGACUUCAGAUCAAGCUGGACACCUCCCACCCCCAGUCCCCGGGAAGAACGGAGACUCUCAGCCGGGACUGGAGGCCCCUGGCACGACUCAGCUUUUGUUUCCAGGCCCCGCGGGGGGAGGAUAAGCCUCCGUGUAGGCGGAGGGGAGGGACGUGCGCGUUUCCGUGCCUCAGUUUCCCUGAGCGCAAACGGGAGAGGAGGCGGCAGCGGGGUUCUCGGAAAGACUACGAUCCCCAGAAGCUCCCGCGCGGCGCCCGCCCGGGCUGUCAAUCAAAGUAACGUGGGUCCCUCUCCCGGCCCGCGCUCCCCCGCCCGCCGCCUCUCUCCUGCCAGCUCCCGCUCCCUCCCCGCCGGCUCCGGGCCCGGCGCGGUAUAAUUACAGCCCAUUGAUCCGACCCGGGCCGGGAAAGCGGCUCCCUCGGGGAGGCCAAGCCUUUGGCUUCCGACUUCGCCAACCUCUGCCUACCGCCCCCGCCCCCAGCCGAGCUCCUGGGCCACCAGCCAGGCCUGUCCCCUCCUGAGGGCCAGGGCUCUCAGGUGACCUCGGAGCCUCUGUUCCUGCCAAGGUUGGCGGUGAGCCCCCCUCAGAAGAAUCACACACGUUAACUUCCACCUGGGAACGUGGGGAGGCCUCCCCCUUGUUCUAGCGCCCCCCACCGUGACCUUAAGACUUGCGCGCCUCUCUCUGAGCCUCGGUUUGCUCACCUGUAUUGUGAGAUAGUUGGGCAAGACUUGUUCGUGAAACCAGUGUGCUGGCUCUCUGCUGUCCCGUGUGUGAGCAGCCAGGCCGGGCCAUGAUGGGGACUCAAGGAGGGGUUCCCCAGAUUGGGAAACGGGGCGUGUGGGAGGCCCACAGAGCAGAGCACUCUCAGCCCCCUGUAGUCAGAUGGAGGUAGAAACGGGACUGUGGGUGGGGGCAGAGACAGAGCCGGGAGGGAGGUCCCUGCUUGGGAAGUUGGGAAGGCUUCCUGGAUGUCAGAUGGGGGUGUGUAAGCUGGGGUUCUGCAGAAUGCAUAGGAGUUGCCUCAUUUGAGCAGUGCAUGUGUAGUCCGGGACUGGGUGGCCAGUGUCGGGAGGCACUAGGAUUGGCUGAAGGCUCCCAACCCCGGCUGCUGCUUCUGAAAGAAAAGAAGGGGCCUCAGGCAGUCCAGGAUGGCCCCUGCUCGGUGGGUUUCCUCACCUGGAACCCCAGGUGGGUGACAGAAUCUUCUAAUACACUAACACACACGCUCCCUUCCCCCUACAUUUUUGAUGAUGCAUUAAAAUGGCUCAGCCGGUAGAGCCUUCGACUCUUGAUCCCUGGGUCCUGAGUUCGAGCCCCGUCUCGGGCGUAGAGAUUUGCUUUUAAAAAAUGUGAUCAGAUCCCAUCCUUCCCUCUGCUUAAAAAUCUUCCAGAGCUCCCCAUCACCCUCAGAAUAAAAUCCAAAUUCCCACCUGUGUCUGCAUGGGCUGACCCCUGUCCUCUCCUGCCCUCACCUCCUCCCUCUCUCCCCAUCACUCCCACUUCCCUCCAGCUUCUCAGCCCUCUUGGUUGUUACCUCUAACAGACCAGGUAAAGCCCUGCCCCAGGACCUUUGCAUGCACUGUUUCCUUUGCCUGGAUCACGGCUGACCCUUCUCUCCCUUCCAGUCUUGGAUGGAACAUCACAUCCUAGUGAGGCCUGGUCCAGCCAGCCUGCUACAACAGCCCUCAACCUCCCUACUUGGUCAGCCCUCUCACUUUAUUUCCUUCGGUAAAGUCUCAUCCCUCUCUGGACGCUGAUUAUUUUACGGUCGGCCCAGGCCCAACACAGUGCCUGCCCCUUAUAUUUGCUGGGAGGAUGAAGAGGCAAGCCUAGGGAGGGGCAGAACCCCUUCCAGGUCACCCAGUAUUCAUAUUCGGGGCAGGGAUCCAGAGUCCCUGACCUCCUGCCCAUUGCUAACCUAGCCUGCAGGGGUCAGCGGCCACCUGAGGUCACGCCUCCCUUGGAGGCCUGGGUUCAAAUCUGACUUUGCUGCUGUGCCACCGUGAUUCUGUAAACUGAGAGGAACAAUAGGACCUUCCUUGUGUUGUCAUAGGAUCAAACAGCUGGAUGGGGAGGCUGGCUUUGCCUGUCCUGUGAGUGUGUGCAGGGGGGAAGCAGGGCGGGACCUGGCCCAAAAAGGCAACCUCUAUUUGGGGCUCUCCUGGUCCCAGACCCCACACCACACGCAGGGGCCCUCCACCCCAAGUCUGGGCCUCACCCUCUACACCUCCCACCCCCGCUCCCGGCAUCUCUGCGAACCCCGUCUCCAUCCCUACUCUUGGGGGGCUCCUGCUGGACCCCAGAUUCGCCCAGUCCCCAGCAGGCAUCGCACAGACGUGUGUGUGGAACAUACUGUGUGGCCCAACCGGAAGCUUACUCUCCCAGCUUCAGGUUUGCUGGGAGCCCUUUCUCCCCGGGCCUCAGUUUGCUCAUCUUGAAAAGGGGGUGAGCCAGCCUUUGAUAAUGGUACCUCCUGCCCUUACUGCAGGGCCAGCUGGAUUAUUCCCUUUACUUUGUGCGGGAACCUGCAACAGAAUAGCAGUCCUCCCGCCUCUGGGCUUUUGCCCUCUUGGUUCCCUAGGCCUGCAGCCCCUCCCCCCCAUCUCCCUCCCCUCCUCC